rnacentral:rRNA from 1 species
UACAGAGGUGGCAAGCGUUGUUCGGAAUUACUGGGCGUAAAGGGCGCGUAGGCGGUUCGAUAAGUCCCGUGUGAAAUCCCCUCGGCUCAACUGAGGAACGGCACGGGAAACUGACGGGCUUGAGUUCGGGAGAGGGAAGCGGAAUUCCGGGUGUAGCGGUGAAAUGCGUAGAUAUCCGGAGGAACACCGGUGGCGAAGGCGGCUUCCGUGGUCCGACA